rnacentral:rRNA from 1 species
GACGAACGCUGGCGGCGUGCUUAACACAUGCAAGUCGAACGGAAAGGCCCUGCUUUUGUGGGGUGCUCGAGUGGCGAACGGGUGAGUAACACGUGAGUAACCUGCCCUUGACUUUGGGAUAACUUCAGGAAACUGGGGCUAAUACCGGAUAGGAGCUCCUGCUGCAUGGUGGGGGUUGGAAAGUUUCGGCGGUUGGGGAUGGACUCGCGGCUUAUCAGCUUGUUGGGGGGGUAGUGGCUUACCAAGGCUUUGACGGGUAGCCGGCCUGAGAGGGUGAACGGCCACAGUGGGACUGAGAUACGGCGCAGACUCCUACGGGAGGCAGCAGUGGGGAAUAUUGCACAAUGGGCGGAAGCCUGAUGCAGCAACGCCGCGUGCGGGAUGACGGCUUUCGGGUUGUAAACCGCUUUCGCCUGUGACGAAGCGUGAGUGACGGUAAUGGGUAAAGAAGCACCGGCUAACUACGUG